GAUGAACGCUGGCGGCGUGCUUAACACAUGCAAGUCGAACGGAAAGGCCCUGCUUGUGUGGGGUGCUCGAGUGGCGAACGGGUGAGUAAGACGUGAGUAACCUGCCCUUGACUUUGGGAUAACUUCAGGAAGCUGGGGCUAGUACCGGAUAGGUGAUCCCGCUGCAUGGUGGGGGAUGGAAAGCUUGGGCGGUCGGGGAUGGACUGGCGGGGUAUGGGCUUGCUGGUGGGGAAGUGGAUUACGAAGCCAUGGACGGGUAGCCAGCCGGAGAGGGUGACCGGCCACACUGGGACGGAGAUACGGCCCAGACUAAUACGGGAGGGAGCAGGGGGGAAUAUAGCACAAUCAGCGGAAGCCAGAUGCAGGAACGCCGGGUGCGUGAUGGAGGCCUGCGGGUUGUAAACAGCUUUCUCCUGUGACGGAGGGAAAGUGACGGUAAUGUAUAAAAAAGCACCGGCUAACUACGUG
rnacentral:rRNA from 1 species